AUAAUCAAGUUGAGAGAUGUGUAUUGUAGACCUGAAUGCUUGUGCCCCUCUUGUUCAUAUGUUGAGCCUAAUCCGUAGUUGGAGGUGGGGUCUUUGGGAAGUGAUUAGGUCAUGAGGAUGGAGCUCUAAUGAAUGAGAUCUUUUUUUUUAUAAGUGCUCCUAUAAAAGAGAUCCCACAGAGCCCUCUUGCACCAUCUGUCCUGUGAGGACACAGCAAAAAGAAGGUCAUCUAUAACCAGGAAGGGGUUUCUCAUCAGACACAGGAUCUACUGGCACCUUAAUCUUGGACUUCUCAGCCUCCAGAACUCUGAGAAAUAAGUUUUUGUUGUUUGAGCCACCCAGUAUCUGAUGAUUUUGUCAUAACAGCCCAAACAGAGUAAGACAGGCACAUUAAACAAAAUCGUUUUUAUACUAAAUCAGGUUAAUAUUUAAGCACGCUGACAAUUUGUUAAGAGAUCUAGGACUGUUUGUUUCUCUCGGGGUUAGUUUCAAAGGGCACGGGGACAUACUGGAUUUUGUGUAGUUUCCAGGAACAUAGUGCAAAGAUGAGGGCCCACACACGUUUAGCUUUGCAAUAAUAUAAAAAAGCCACUUCAGCCAGCACAAGUCCUCAGAGACAGCUAAGCAUACCUGUGUCCUGGGGCUGCAGGGAUUUGGAGGGAAGGCUCCAGUAUAAACACAACUUCCAAGCUGACUAUUGAUUGCUCUGUUGCUCUCUUGGCAGUUUCUUGCUUUCUGAUGCACCGCGGGAAGAAGUGGUCAGAAGGGUGGACAGCCCAACAUUGCUUGAAAGAGUGCAACCUUGAAUUCAACUGGAAGAUGGUACCAGUUUACCCUCCAAACUCCUCAAAACAUUUUUCUCAGUAAGCCGAGUGUGUAUUCUGAUGUGAAAGUGUUUGUAAACCAGGAAGAGAGUUCUCACCAGAACCUGACCAUGCUGGCACUCUGCUCCAGCCUCCAGAAUGGUGAGAAAAUAAAUGUCUGUUGUUUAAGUCACGUGGUCUAUGGUUUGUUAUAGAAGCUCAAGCAGACCGAAACAGGGGGUGAGGUAGGGCAGACAUAAGGCUUCGUUGGCUAUUAUAAGAACUAGCACCUUUCUGUGAGUGAGUGAGAUGGGAUGUGAUGGAAAGAAAAGUUUUGAAUAAAUGAAUGACAUUAUAUGAUCUAUGUUUUAAAACACUACUAUGGCCGCUGUUUUGAAACAAACUGUGGAGUGAGGGUGGCAAGUAUAGAAGCAUAAGUCAAUUUGAAGAUGAUGGCCUCCCCAGGUGAGAGAGGCUAGCUCAAAGCAGGGAGGUAGUAGUUGAAGUAGUGAGAAGUGAUCAGAUUCUAGAUAUACUUUACAGGUAGAUUCAAUAAGAUUUCCUGACAAAAAUAAUAUCCAAUGUGUGGGUAAAAAGAAGUCAAGAAAAAUCCCCAAAUUUUUUGGCCUGGACAGUGGAGGGGGUAAAUUUGCUGUCAACUAUAAUGUAGACUUGCAGGUAGAUCACAUUUUUGGGGAUGGUCAAGAGUUCCAUUUUGGAUAUAUUAACUGUGAAAUGGCUGUUAGAUACUGAAGUGGAGUGUUCAGUGGGAAGUUAGAUACACAAGUCUGGAGUUCAGGAGAGGGUUCAAGGGUGGAGUUUUAAGUCUGAGAGUCAUUGGCACAUAGAUGACAUUUAGUCAUAAGACUAGAUGAAAUCACCAGGGUCUGUUCUUUUCUCUUUCUCCACUUUGAAAUUAUUUUUCUCCUUCCCUACUCAUCAUUGCUCUGCUUCUGCAUUUUCUAGCAUCAGAACAAGGGUAGAGGAACACAGAGGAAGAUGACAAUUUAUAUUUAUUUAUUUAUUUAUUUAUUUAUUUAUUUAUUUUUUUUUUUUUUUACUGAAUUUAUUUGUGGUUCUUUCUUGGAUGACUGGCUGGUUAUACAUUAUUUUGUACCAGGCUACACCUGCAAACUUUUUAUGGGCAUGUUGGUUUGUUCUCCAAAUAUUUUUCAUGAAGUACUCUGCAUCUUUCUGUGCCCUGAUUUGGGGUGUGGGCAGGCAAAGAUGGGAUGCAGGCCUCACUCAACUUCUUAUAAACCCCUCUCCUCAACUUCUGCUUCUAAGGCACUAUUCCUCUUGUUUCUUUCUGCUGGUGUUUCUUUGAUCUAACAGGGCACUCCUUUAUAGUGUCCCUUAAAGAUGGCUUAUGCCAUUAUACUUAUAACUAUAUAUACAUGGGAAAGCAGAUGGAAAGGGAAUGUACUAAAAUAAUAGCAGUAUAUUACU